GCACUGUUUAAUGAAUCAUGCAUCACAAAUCUGCUUCCUUUAGCCUGGACAUCCAUCUACAGUAUUUCUCAUAUCCGGUGAUGAAUCGUGGUAUACUUACAGAUUAGCCUGGUCGGGAUUCAGUUGGCUUCGUGCAUAUCCAGGUCCCGAGCCACUAUCAGCUAAAGAUGACUGUCCUUCCGAAAAGUGGCUCUGGAAAGACUUACUUGAAGGUGACUUUUUUUGAUCGAAAUAACCAUAUAAGCUAUUUCUGAACUAGUCAGUUUUUUUUUAUGGGUCCACAGAGACUUGUGAAGAGACUCCUCUGAAGAUAAGGAGCAGGAUACUUGAGUAUGAAAAGCCCUUUUAUUGCCGAGUAUGCAUGUUUUAUUUCUCGAUGUUUUCAUCAGCCAUUCCAAGAGUAGACAACACAAUAAGGUGGUAUGCCUCCUCCUACUCUCAGCUUUGUAUCAUUUACAUUUGUUACUUGUCUAACCAAUAGUAUGAUAAUAAUCUCGGUUUGGUUAGCAGUUGCUUCUCAGUGUGAUUCCUUUUGUGUUGUGAUUUUGGCUUUCUUGGCUUGGCCUCUUCACUCUUCUCACGGCCAGCUCUCUCUGUUUUAUACUCUGAUUUGUUCAUUCACUCUCUUUGUUUCUUUACUUGUGUUUUAUCAUUACACAAGCACACUCACACACUCUCUUUACUCUCUCACACGUUUGGUUUCUUGUAGAGAGAAGAAAGUAAGCUUUAGUUGUCUACAUCUUUCUUUCUCUCCAACUCUUUUUCUUAUUACACUUGGAUCCAUUCUUACAACAACACACUUACAUAAUUAUAAUAGUUUUACUCUAACUACUACACACAUGCACUUCCUUAUACUUAUAGCUUUACCUACUCCCAUUUGUCCAUGCCUCUACAUUAGGCCAUAGACUAAUCUCCACAAGCAAAGCUUAUCUAUUCUAACAACUCUUAACAACUUCAACUUAACUUAGUUGCUUACAAACCAACUAGCUACUUUUAUUCUUCUUGUUGUGUAACUUCUAGUUACACAACCAAGUCUUCUUGCUUGACUUCUUGUUCUUCUUUCUUUCUUGCUCUGCACGCUUCUUCUUCUUCUUUCUUUGUUUCUUGCACUCCAAGCUUCUUCUUAUUCUUCCAUUGUAGCUUCUUCUAAGCUACUCUUCUUUUGUUCUUCUUCUCUUGGAUAUUUAAUCAAGGUUCAAUCUCAACAUUUUGACAUUAACAAUUAUCCUGACAAUACUUGCACACUUUGCGAGUAUCCAUAUUACAACGAUGCUAAUAGGAAGCUCCACUUGGAAAGUGAUGAACACAAAGCCGCCGCCGCCGCAAGUGUCUCUCAUGAGAUAGAGGCUUCCCUUGUCGAUCCACUCAACACAAGUCAAGAAAAGGAAGACGCCACCAGGAACAGAACUUCAGAAGAGCCUCUCUGGAAAGAGACUAAUUAAGAAGAAUAAUUAGUAAGGAACUAGACGAAGAAGAAGAGUGCAUGGUCCUAUGUCGUGUUGCUCUUAAUCCUAAAAUAGUACUCUCUGCGUUUUUAUUUUUAUUGUCAGUUAAACUUAUGAUGCUUUUUUCUACAUAUGGAGAUCGGAUAUAGUAUACCGUGUUGGUUUUGUUCCA